AGACUGUGAAAAAUAUUUCUGAUAAAAAUGGCACAGAACAUAAACUGAAAAAUAACCAUGAAUUCAUAUUCAGCUGCAUCUUUCAGAGGCCAAUACAAUUAUGUGACUUCUCUUCCCUGAAAUGGCUUUGGGGGGGAAGGAAGAGAGAAAGGAGAAAAAAAGAGAAAACUGGAAAAAAAAAUUGUCCUGGAAGUGACUUUGGGAACAAAUGCUAUGUCAGCUGGAAGAAAGCCAAACUUGAGUUGAAAUAGCACUUUGCUAUAUUCAACUCUACAGAUUUUUCUGACUGGAGAUGGCUCCACUCAAGGACAUUGCCAUAAUAAUUGGGAACAUGCUGACAUCUGCAUCAGAGGCUCAGUCUAGUCAGAAAUCAAAGUAUGAGAAAGAGGCAGUGAGAUCAAGCUUAAGGAUCUGGAAAGCUUGCAGUCAGGACAGCAUUUUGGGGAAGGUUGCCUGUUUAACUCCAGAAUGUCUUCCUAAGUUUGCUGAAAAUAAUGGGAAACAGGAAGCUGAUCCUUUACUCCAACACUUGCCUCAGCAAACCCAAGCUACCCACUUCACUUGAUUAAAAUGUAGUUAAUUCACAGGCAGUACCAUAGACCAUAUUUGUUGGCCUGUUGCUGGGACAGGGUGAUUCCUUCACCUGUUUAUCAAUUUUGCACAGGUCUAGUUAUGCUUGAAAGAUGAACUUUCAAACAGCAAAAUUUCUAUAGUAGAUAAAUCCAGAAGGCUUAACAAGUAACAAUUUGAGUCAUGCUCUCUUCUUGCCAUCGAUUUGCAGUGCUGGGAGCAGCAGAAAGGGAAGAUGCAAAACAGAGAUGAUGCACAGAUCUGUGAAAAAUUACUCAUCAAUCCAAACCCCAAUAUGCAGCAGGGCUAAGAGGAACUUAAUUUCAAAUGAAAAACGUCCAGUCGCCAGCACAUAAAAUUGCUUCUCUAGAAGUGGCAUUUCCAGUUGCAGACUGCAUUCUGCUUAGACACAUAAAAUCCAUUGUAUUCCCCUUCCCCUUGGUAUGCAGUGCACACAUGAAUGGGAGCUGCUGCUGCAGAAUUCUGCUCAUUUGCUCCCGGGUUGAAGGUGAUCCCAUUCCUUCUAAUUACAUAAGAAAAUCCCACUGUCGUGGUGAUUGUUGCAAGAAGAACAAAUGUGUAAUGCUUGGGAACAACAGUGCUUUGAGACUUCAGCAGAUCACCCCACUCUGUUCAGAGGAUGCUGGGACCUCUCCUUCUGAUCCUCAGUUCCAAAUACAUUCGGCACCAAACAGGCCCAGCUGCUAUUUCUGCCUUGCUUCACUUGCUGUGAUGUGGCUUCUUUUCAGUUUGCUUCCCUGCAUCCAUCAACGAUGAAGGAAAAGAGGUAACAGGAUUUACUGCAUGGUUGUUCUAGCUCUGUGUACAGGAUCCACUAAAAUCACAGUAAAUUACAAUAAAUAACUGGUUUUCUGUUACUUUUCUCUUUCUUUUGAAAUUAGGAGGCACUUUUUUUUCAUUCAAAGGCCAGGAAGAUAAGGGCUUGCUCUGCCAUAACGUGUGUUGGUUUAGCAUGGCUUCAGGAUAUAGUGUUUGCUGAGUUUGUUUGAACUUUCUUUUGGUUACCAGGCCUUCACAAGUAGAAGAAUUUCCUCUUUUCCUAGUACUGGCAGCAUCAUAGCCAGUCUCCUGCAGUACCCACCAAACCAAAAGCUGGUGAAACUCUAGAAGAAAGGAGGACUUUGCUUCCAGCACAUACAAAAAUUACCAGGGAAGAGGGAUGGAGAAAACACUUUUCUUUAGGAAUAUACCCCUGGUUUGCAACUGACUGUGAUUCUACCUGUGACUGUCUAAAUCUAGAAUUAGAUAUUUGUCUUCCAGGACAAGUUGGCAGACAAUGGGAGGCUCAGAGGAAAAUAAUAGUACAGUACAAGAAAUGGGCAUCUUCAUUCACGUCAUGGCAUUCCCUGGGAUACCAAGGGUGACUGUUUGAUCUCACCUUUACACAGAACUCUCCAAGGGCAGAGGCCAAAAGGGAACUGCAGGGAGGACAGAGGAGAGAAAAGUCACACCAGCAUGUGGACAGCAACACAGACUGCAGCCCACAGCAGAACAGUCAGACCUUUCUCUCGCUGGUGGGGACAACUCACGUGGCAGAAGAUGAAAUUUGGUGCUGUUGAACUUUACAUUAAUCACUGCCUGCCCGGAAAGCAGCUGGAGUAGCCUGGCUCUGCCAGUGUGGAGCACAAGGAAUCACUCAGGGAUGCUGGAUUCUCCUGCCAUGGGGAUGUGCUGCAUCAGCAGCAGGACCACGGCACAAGAGAUUUGGAAACUGCUGCAGUUAAAGCAAGGAAGGAUGCAAAAUGACAGGAUGAAAAAACAGCACCCUCCUCUUCCAGAAAACCACAGAGCAAACUCAGAAGAUCUUGAACAGGAAGGUACUCAUGAAUUCAGUAACAAAAUUACCUCAUAUUGUCAAAACAUCCUUCCAUCUCCCCAAAGGCUGCCAUUGUCUCACCAGCAGAGCAGGUGAGGACACUGCACUCAUCUGCACAUCCCCUCAGCAGUGAGGAUGCAUCACUGCACCAUUUUAGGAGAAACACACUGCAUUAGCAUGUCAGGUCUCAAACAAACAGCCUUUUAGAUUUAGGGCAAACCCAACAUUUUUGAUUCAAAACAACAGUACUUUGGGAGCUUCCCAUUCAUGGGUUUCCAAGAGCAUGUGCCAUUCCCUAAAAAGCUGAGCUGGCUAUUGCUUCAGAGGCAGCUCUGCACAGACCAUACUCCCACAAUGUACUUCACAUUUCUCUGCCCACACAAAACCCCCCUCUCAGCCUGGACGAGGGCAGGCACCAGAUGCUCUCAAUGCAGCUCUCUGUUUCCUAACGCAACGUUUCACAGCCAAAAAUAAACCAGCCCCAAACAACGCACUGGUUUGUAUGUACUGCACAUCCUAUUUCAUCAUCUAAAGCCAGGCUCCAUGCUGCAGAAAUGGUCACACCUCAAAAGAGAAAGGUUCACUGGGGUAAAGAAGUGCAAAGGACAAUUAAAGAGGGCAGGGGCUCUGGUAAGGAAAGCACUCUGGCACGUCUCCUCCUUGGCUUGGCCCCCUGAGCUGAAUACAAAUGAGGAGCAUCACUGACAGCCCAGUCUAACAUCUCAGUCCCCUUCACAAGCCAUCCAUUCGGCUCAGGGCACAGACACAGUGCAGGCAUUGUCACAAAUACACUGGGCACAAACAGACUGACAGGGAGCCCCACAGACAAACAUCACCCCAUCGAGACUGAACACAGCCUUAAAAAUAUACUAACAGAUACAGCUAUUAACAUGCCUGCACAGAACAGAGUACGGACAGAGCACUCAAAGUGCUUGUUCAUUCCUCAUCCUCCAUUUCAAGCUACGAUGUCACCCUGUAAUUAGCUGAAAUAACCUCUAUUCUGCUCAGCUUCGCCACUGAUGAGAAGCUCACAAGAAGUAUGAAUCGUCAGGAAAGGUUUAAAAAUACAUGCAAAUUUAACAGCAAUGACAAGAGACAUAAAGAGACAUAAAGCACUUACUUGCUUUUUCUUUUUUGUUUUUGGUUGGUUAGAUUUUUUGUUUUGUUUUUUUUUUUUUUUUUUUACUCUUGCAAGGGCUGAUUAGCAAGGAUGUCACCAGUUUGGUUUUGCAAGCUAAUUCUUAGUUCAUAAGAAUUAAGUGGGCAUAGACUCAUCCUAAGUGGGAAAAGACUUUUCCAAAGCUUCAGUUCUAAGAUGAAACAACCACAGCAUUGCUAAGAAAUAUAUAGGUAUUACGUUCUUAAGCAAAUGUACAUUGUAGAAUCCAGGAUUGCUUAGCUUUAAAAUAGACUUAGGACAAAAGACCUAAUAUCAAAGCAGAAGAAUUAGCAUAGCAGAAUUUCCAUAAGAAACAAAAAGUUGAGGAUGUCAUAUAUUUUACUGACUGAUCAUUGUUGCAAAAAAACAUGGGUGGGAACUAACUGUGGGCAAAUGAGGGAGCCUACAUUUAAAUAGCAGAUAAUUCAUGAAGUUUUUUUCCCCACCUCUAUUACUCUGUGAACAUCUGAUUCACUGGGCCUUUUGUGUUUUUCCUUUAAUUAAACAUUUCAAGCCAUUCACCAUGUCUGACUAAUGAACCCAGCAUAUUUCAUUCUUGUUUUGUGUGCAGAUGGGUUGUACACAUAACUGUGAACACUGUGGCUUAUGAUGCAUAAAAAAAUAAAUGUAGAUUCCAAAAGUAAGAAAAAAAAUCUAAUGCAGUUUCAGAAGCUUGUGAGAAAUAAACAGUCUGAGUGCUGGGGAAGCUCAGGCUGUUAGAAUACCAGGAAAACCUCCAAGAGCCAUGUAUAAAGAUGCAAAAGGUAAAUACACUGAGAUAACAAAAUUAUUAUAGGCAGGAAUUGUUCUUAUAAAGAAAAUGAUGAGCUGCACAGGAACAGCAAACAGUUCUCAAGCCCAGUUCAUGUUCUCUAAGUGCUACAUUUACACAGGCUGUAAUGAGAAACGCAGGCUUAAUUAAGCUUUUUAUUUAAAGAAAAUAGCUGAUAAAACAUGAAAAAGAGAACCCCACAUCUCUGGUAUGCAUUGCCCCUUCUUUUUAAUUUGCUUGCUCGAAAAUCAAGCACAGAGAAGAUUAAUUUAUUGGUUGGAACAUAAAACCAAUUAAAUAAAUAAACAGCUUGUCACUCUGACUUCAGAGUGAAUCUAGUGGAAAAUUUUUUUUCCCAGGAAACCUAUUUUGGGAAAGCAAUAAACCACAGGGAAGGGCAAAGGCUAGAGAAAAGGCUAGAGGCAUAAAAAACCCACCUGGAGACACUGUGCUAUUUCUGAUUUAUUGAGGAUUUUUUUUGGGCAGGAGCCUGCAGGAGCUGAUUACUCCAGUCCUCCUACAAGAGCAGCCCACAGUUCUCAGGUGCCUGGGCAUCUCACUGCACCUCCAGCCAAGCAACCACACUGCUACUCCCAUCCAGAUAUCCACGGUCUGUGCUGUUUUUCUUCAAAUAGAACUUUUUUCCUCUAUUAUUUCACUUCUGAUCUCUAUGACUACAGAAAGGCAGUGGAUUCCCCUGCAAUGAUACAGAGCAAUGAAGCUGUGCUUGGGCUUGAUGGAAUUAACUCACUGGUGAAGGGUUCAGCUCAAGAUGCACCGUUACCACCCACCCCU